AUUGAACGCUGGCGGCAUGCUUUACACAUGCAAGUCGAACGGCAGCGCGGGCUUCGGCCUGGCGGCGAGUGGCGAACGGGUGAGUAAUACAUCGGAACGUGCCCAGUAGUGGGGGAUAGCCCGGCGAAAGCCGGAUUAAUACCGCAUACGACCUGAGGGUGAAAGCGGGGGACCGAAGGGCCUCGCGCUAUUGGAGCGGCCGAUGUCGGAUUAGCUAGUUGGUGGGGUAAAGGCUUACCAAGGCGACGAUCCGUAGCUGGUCUGAGAGGACGACCAGCCACACUGGGACUGAGACACGGCCCAGACUCCUACGGGAGGCAGCAGUGGGGAAUUUUGGACAAUGGGGGCAACCCUGAUCCAGCCAUGCCGCGUGAGGGAAGAAGGCCUUCGGGUUGUAAACCGCUUUUGUUAGGGAAGAAAUGCUCUGGGCUAAUACCCCGGGGGGAUGACGGUACCGGAAGAAUAAGCACCGGCUAACUACGUG
rnacentral:rRNA from 1 species